rnacentral:misc_RNA from 1 species
GAUGAAGAACGUAGCGAAAUGCGAUACGUAAUGUGAAUUGCAGAAUUCAGUGAAUCAUCGAAUCUUUGAACGCACCUUGCGCUCCUUGGUAUUCCGAGGAGCAUGCCUGUUUGAGUGUCAUGAAAUUCUCAACCUUUUCAGCUUUCUUUGUUGAUCAGGCUUGGAUGUGGGAGUAUGCGGGCUUCUCAGAAGUCGGCUCUCCUGAAAUGCAUUAGCGGGACCUUUGUUGCCUGGCUUUGGUGUGAUAAUUAUCUACGCCAUUGUAGUCAAGCAGCUUAAAAUGAGGUUUCAGCUUCUAACCGUCUACCCUGAGACAACUUUUUGACAAUUUGACCUCAAAUCAGGUAGGACUACCCGCUGAACUUAAGCAUAUCAAUAAGCGGAGGA